CUGCUCACUGAAUAAACUCAACGUUGAUCAUGGAGGAGAAUCCAGGAUUACAACAGGACUGAAGAAAUAUGAGUGUUUUCUC